rnacentral:tRNA from 1 species
ACCGGGGUGGCGCGAAGAGCGCAAGCUGACACUCAGGCUCGAAGCUGACUUCGGGGAACGGUGGGGGUUCGAAUCCCUCCCCCGGCA